GGCUUGUUGAGGAGCAAUCAUGUGCACAUGCCCAUCAAUACCUGCGGCUGUCAAAAUGAGAUGUUCUCCAGAGAUGGCAUCAGUUGACGCACCGGUUACCAAGUCAGGGUCUACUCCAGCCAUUACAUUAGGGUUACCUGCCUUUCCUAUACCUGCAAUCUUUCCAUCCUUUAUACCAACAUCUGCUUUAAUUACACCAAGCUUAGCAUCAAUAAUUGUAACAUUGGUAAUAACCAAAUCGAGUGAUCCAUCUUUAGAUGUAGUUGUAUUAGCCAAGCCCAUUCCAUCUCU
rnacentral:sRNA from 1 species